AGCAUCGGUGACUGUCAUAACUAUGCAUUAUUCUGGUUGCCCACGACAAGAUAUGCUGUGGGUAAUCAGGACAGUGCAUAUUCAUGACACCAACUCACUGUUUCG